GACUCUCGGCAACGGAUAUCUCGGCUCUCGCAUCGAUGAAGAACGUAGCGAAAUGCGAUACUUGGUGUGAAUUGCAGAAUCCCGUGAACCAUCGAGUCUUUGAACGCAAGUUGCGCCCGAAGCCAUCAGGCCAAGGGCACGCCUGCCUGGGCGUCACGCA
rnacentral:rRNA from 1 species